GACGUAGGGCGCGAGCGUUGUCCGGAUUUAUUGGGCGUAAAGAGCUCGUAGGCGGCUCGUCGCGUCAGCUGUGGAAACCCGCAGCUUAACUGUGGGCUUGCAGCUGAUACGGGCGGGCUAGAGUUCGGUAGGGGAGACUGGAAUUCCUGGUGUAGCGGUGAAAUGCGCAGAUAUCAGGAGGAACACCGGUGGCGAAGGCGGGUCUCUGGGCCGAUACUGACGCUGAGGAGCGAAAGCGUGGGGAGCGAACAGG
rnacentral:rRNA from 1 species